GGGCCGGCUUAAUCCCGGCGCCAUGGCGCCAUCGGGGAUGCGAUUUCGGAUGUCGUGUCCGAUUUCCGUAUAGUGGGUCCUUAUAUAACCUUCCUUUCCUGGGUUUUAGCCCAGAGAAAUUUGGAUUAAUACCCCGUAACAUAUAGAAGUGGCAUCACUUUUAUAUUAUAGCUCCGGCGCUUAAAGAUGGGUGUGCGGCUGAUUAGAUAGUUGGCGGUGUAACGGCCCACCAAGUCGACGAUCAGUAACUGGUGUGAGAGCACGACCAGUCACACGGGCACUGAGACACGGGCCCGACUCCUACGGGAGUGGAAUAUGCACAUUGGGGAAAUCCUGAUGCAGCAACGCCGCGUGAGUGAUGAAGGUCUUCGGAAUAGUAAAACUCUGUCUUUGGGGACGAUAAUGACGGUACCCAAGGAGGAAGCCACGGCUAACUACGUGCCAGCAGCCGCGGUAAUACGUAGGUGGCAAGCGUUGUCCGGAUUUACUGGGCGUAAAGGGAGCGUAGGUGGAUAUUUAAGUGGGAUGUGAAAUACUCGGGCUUAACCUGAGUUCUCAAAGCAACUGGAUAUCUAGAGUGCAGGAGAGGAAAGUGGAAUUUCUUUGUGAGCGGUGAAAUGCGUAGAUAUUAGGAAGAACACCAGUGGCGAAGGCGACUUUCAGGAGAGCUUUCCAGGACCUGUAACUGGACUCUGAGGCUCGAAGCGUGGGGAGCGAACAGGAUUAGAUACCUGUAGUCACGCGUAAACGAUGAAUACUAGGUGUAGGAGCUGUCAUGGCUUCUGUGCCGCCGCUAACGCAUUAAGUAUUCCGCCUGGGGAGUACGGUCGCAAGAUUAAAACUCAAAGGAAUUGACGGGGGCCCGCACAAGCAGCGGAGCAUGUGGUUUAAUUCGAAGCAACGCGAAGAACCUUACCUAGACUUGACAUCUCCUGAAUUACUCUUAAUCGAGGAAGUCACUUCGGUGACAGGAAGACAGGUGGUGCAUGGUUGUCGUCAGCUCGUGUCGUGAGAUGUUGGGUUAAGUCCCGCAACGAGCGCAACCCUUAUUGUUAGUUGCUACCAUUUAGUUGAGCACUCUAGCGAGACUGCCGUGGUUAACGCGGAGGAAGGUGGGGAUGACGUCAAAUCAUCAUGCCCCUUAUGUCUAGGGCUACACACGUGCUACAAUGGCUGGUACAAAGAGAUGCAAUACCGUGAGGUGGAGCUAAACUAUAAAACCAGUCUCAGUUCGGAUUGUAGGCUGAAACUCGCCUACAUGAAGCUGGAGUUGCUAGUAAUCGCGAAUCAGAAUGUCGCGGUGAAUACGUUCCCGGGCCUUGUACACACCGCCCGUCACACCAUGAGAGUUGGCAAUACCCAAAGUUCGUGAGCUAACCCGUAAGGGAGGCAGCGACCCUAAGGUUGGUA
rnacentral:rRNA from 1 species